UUGUGUUUGUUAGAUCAUCUGGCAAAGAGAUUUGCAGAGUGUCGGGUGACCGGCAAAGAGAUCUGCAAAGUGUCAGUUGAAGACGACGCGAGGGGUCGCAGAGGUAGCAACGACUGGAGUAUAACAUGCAGGAGAUCAUCAUUUGGCAAAGUUCUGGCAAAGAGAUUUGCAGAGUGUCGGGUGACCGGCAAAGAGAUCUGCAAAGUGUCAGUUGAAGACGACGGGAGUGGUCGCAGAGGA